UUGCCUUAGAGGUCAGAUUUUGAGGGAGAAGAGCUGAAAAAUACAGAAAACACACAACUGGCUAGAUUACUGUUUCAUUAAAUUGCUUCAGGGAUUCUUUAAUUUUUUUCUCUAAUUUCUAAAAAAAAGCAACAAUGAUCUCUCAUUUGGAAUUAGAAUGGAUUGAAGUUGGGUUAUAGAAGUUUGGUUUGAAGUGUACACUCUCAAAACUAUGAUGGAAUUGAAGCCUGAUUGAAUUUGUGUAAAGAUUUGUGAAUCUGAGUUGGGAUUUGGAUAGAAACACUGUUUUUAGCUGCACUUAUUGCUUGUUUUUGCCAUUUUAUGUUAUUAAAUUCCUCAGUUUUUGUAGUAAUUUAGUUUUCCUGCAUGUGUUAUUUUGCUUAGUCGUGAUAGCACCUUAAGGUCGAAUUGUUGAGUCAAAAUAGGCGUUCAGGUUCAAAACAUUGGCUUGUAAUAAUAACUGAACUUUGUCGAAUGAGUGGACUGCUAGAUAUGUUGAAAUGAGAGCUUGAUUGAAUAUGUCAACUUAGUGCUUUCAUGGUUUGAAAUCAGUAAUUGUCAUGUUGAAA